rnacentral:rRNA from 1 species
GAAGGGUUUCGAUCCGUAAACCACUGUCAUUUGUGAACAAUGGUUAUCCAUGAAUAAUGGAUGACUUGAUAGUAAUGAAAGAGGAAGGGACGGCUAACUCUGUGCCAGCAGCCGCGGUAAUACAGAGGUCCCGAGCGUUGUUCGGAUUCACUGGGCGUAAAGGGUGCGUAGGUGGCAUGUUAAGUUUGAUGUGAAAGCUCAGGGCUCAACCCUGAAAUGGCAUUGAAUACUAGCGUGCUGGAGGUUUGGAGGGGGGACUGGAAUUCUCGGUGUAGCAGUGAAAUGCGUAGAUAUCGAGAGGAACACCAGUGGCGAAGGCGAGUCCCUGGACAACACCUGACACUGAGGCACGAAAGCUAGGGGAGCAAACAGGAUUAGAUACCCUGGUAGUCCUAGCCCUAAACGGUGCGCAUUUGCUGUAGGAGGAAUCGACCCCUUCUGUGGCGAAGCUAACGCGAUAAAUGCGCCGCCUGGGGAGUACGGUCGCAAGAUUAAAACUCAAAGAAAUUGACGGGGGCCUGCACAAGCGGUGGAGUAUGUGGCUUAAUUCGAUGCAACGCGAAGAACCUUACCUGGCCUUGACAUGCAAGUGGUAGAACCAUGAAAGUGGGACGACCCCGCAAGGGGAGCUUGCACAGGUGCUGCAUGGCUGUCGUCAGCUCGUGUCGUGAGAUGUUGGGUUAAGUCCCGCAACGAGCGCAACCC